rnacentral:rRNA from 1 species
GGGGAAUUUUGGACAAUGGGCGCAAGCCUGAUCCAGCCAUUCCGCGUGCAGGAUGAAGGCCUUCGGGUUGUAAACUGCUUUUGUACGGAACGAAAAGGCUCUGGUUAAUACCUGGGGCUCAUGACGGUACCGUAAGAAUAAGCACCGGCUAACUACGUGCCAGCAGCCGCGGUAAUACGUAGGGUGCAAGCGUUAAUCGGAACUACUGGGCGUAAAGCGUGCGCAGGCGGUUGUGUAAGACAGAUGUGAAAUCCCCGGGCUCAACCUGGGAACUGCAUUUGUGACUGCACAGCUGGAGUACGGCAGAGGGGGAUGGGAUUCCGCGUGUAGCAGUGAAAUGCGUAGAUAUGCGGAGGAACACCGAUGGCGAAGGCAAUCCCCUGGGCCUGUACUGACGCUCAUGCACGAAAGCGUGGGGAGCAAAC